rnacentral:rRNA from 1 species
UGCGGUAAAAAAGCUCGUAGUUGGAUGUCUGUUGAGGACGACCGGUCCGUACCAUGUACGCGCAUCUGGCUCGGCCUCGGCAUCCUCUCGAUAGACGUUUCUGCGCUUGAUUGCGUGGAACGGAUUACGGGACUUUUACUUUGAGGAAAUUAGAGUGUUCACGGCAGGCUAUCGCCAGAAUACAUUAGCAUGGAAUAAUAUUAUAGGAUCUCGGUUCUAUUUUGUUGGUUUCUAGACCCGGGGUAAUGAUUAAUAGGGACAAUUGGGGGCAUUUGUAUCAACACGUCAGAGGUGGAAUUCUUGGAUUGUGUUGCGACAAACUACUGCGAAAGCAUUUGCCAAGGAUGUUUUCAUUGAUCAAGAACGAAAGUAAGGGGAUCGAAGACGAUUAGAUACCGUCGUAGUCUUUACCAUAAACUAUGCCGACUAGAGAUGGGGCAUCGUUCACUUACGACUUGCUCCGCAUCUUAUGAGAUAUCAAAGUCUUUGGGUUCCGGGGGGAGUAUGGUCGCAAGUCUGAAACUUAAAGGAAUUGACGGAAGGGCACCACCAGGAGUGGAGCCUGCGGCUUAAUUUGACUCAACACGGGGAAACUCACCAGGUCCAGACAUAAUAAGGAUUGACAGAUUGAUAGCUCUUUCU